rnacentral:rRNA from 1 species
AGUGAACGCUGGCGGUAGGCCUAACACAUGCAAGUCGAACGGCAGCACAGUAAGAGCUUGCUCUUACGGGUGGCGAGUGGCGGACGGGUGAGGAAUACAUCGGAAUCUACUUUUUCGUGGGGGAUAACGUAGGGAAACUUACGCUAAUACCGCAUACGACCUACGGGUGAAAGCAGGGGAUCUUCGCACCUUGCGCGAUUGAAUGAGCCGAUGUCGGAUUAGCCAGUUGGCGGGGUAAAGGCCCACCAAGGCGACGAUCCGUAGCUGGUCUGAGAGGAUGAUCAGCCACACUGGAACUGAAACACGGUCCAGACUCCUACGGGAGGCAGCAGUGGGGAAUAUUGGACAAUGGGCGCAAGCCUGAUCCAGCCAUACCGCGUGGGUGAAGAAGGCCUUCGGGUUGUAAAGCCCUUUUGUUGGGAAAGAAAAGCAGCAGGUUAAUACCCCGCUGUUCUGACGGUACCCAAAGAAUAAGCACCGGCUAACUUCGUG